UCCUCUCUCAAGCCCCUGGGGUUUGGUGUUGGGCCCGUGUUGUGCCGUCCGCGCGCAACUGGCCUCGAAGACAAUGACGGUUUUCCCGUGGGGACCCUCUUCGCAACGAGUCUUUUACGAGGCACGCGUCGAGUUUCAAAGUCCCCUCGGGCCGGUCACACCCUUUUUAUUUUUCUA
rnacentral:misc_RNA from 1 species